UACGAAGGGGGCUAGCGUUGUUCGGAAUUACUGGGCGUAAAGCGCACGUAGGCGGAUACUUAAGUCAGGGGUGAAAUCCCGGGGCUCAACCCCGGAACUGCCUUUGAUACUGGGUAUCUCGAGUCCGGAAGAGGUGAGUGGAAUUCCGAGUGUAGAGGUGAAAUUCGUAGAUAUUCGGAGGAACACCAGUGGCGAAGGCGGCUCACUGGUCCGGUACUGACGCUGAGGUGCGAAAGCGUGGGGAGCAAACGGG
rnacentral:rRNA from 1 species